rnacentral:rRNA from 1 species
AACGAACGCUGGCGGCAUGCCUAACACAUGCAAGUCGAACGAGACCUUCGGGUCUAGUGGCGCACGGUUGCGUAACGCGUGGGAACCUUCCCUUAGGUUCGGAAUAACUCCCCGAAAGGGGUGCUAAUACCGGAUAAUGUCUUCGGACCAAAGAUUUAUCGCCUUUGGAUGGUCCCGCGUUGGAUUAGCUAGUUGGUAGGGUAAAAGCCUACCAAGGCGACGAUCCAUAGCUGGUCUGAGAGGAUGAUCAGCCACACUGGGACUGAGACACGGCCCAGACUCCUACGGGAGGCAGCAGUGGGGAAUAUUGGAAAAUGGGCGAAAGCCUGAUCCAGCAAUGCCGCGUGAGUGAUGAAGGCCUUAGGGUUGUAAAGCUCUUUUACCCGGGAUGAUAAUGACAGUACCGGGAGAAUAAGCUCCGGCUAACUACGUG